rnacentral:rRNA from 1 species
GACGAACGCUGGCGGCGUGCCUAAUACAUGCAAGUCGAGCGCAGGAAAUCGACGGAACCCUUCGGGGGGAAGUCGACGGAAUGAGCGGCGGACGGGUGAGUAACACGUAAAGAACCUGCCCUCAGGUCUGGGAUAACCACGAGAAAUCGGGGCUAAUACCGGAUGGGUCAUCGGACCGCAUGGCCCGAGGAUGAAAGGCGCUCCGGCGUCGCCUGGGGAUGGCUUUGCGGUGCAUUAGCUAGUUGGUGGGGUAAUGGCCCACCAAGGCGACGAUGCAUAGCCGACCUGAGAGGGUGAUCGGCCACACUGGGACUGAGACACGGCCCAGACUCCUACGGGAGGCAGCAGCAGGGAAUCUUCCACAAUGGACGAAAGUCUGAUGGAGCAACGCCGCGUGAACGAUGAAGGCCUUCGGGUCGUAAAGUUCUGUUGUAAGGGAAGAACAAGUGCCGCAGGCAAUGGCGGCACCUUGACGGUACCUUGCGAGAAAGCCACGGCUAACUACGUGCCAGCAGCCGCAGUAAGAC